UACGGGGGGAGCAAGCGUUGUUCGGAUUUACUGGGCGUAAAGGGCGCGUAGGCGGCCAGCACAAGUCAGUUGUGAAAUCUCCGAGCUUAACUCGGAACGGUCAACUGAUACUGUGCGGCUAGAGUGCAGAAGGGGCAACUGGAAUUCUUGGUGUAGCGGUGAAAUGCGUAGAUAUCAAGAGGAACACCUGCGGCGAAGGCGGGUUGCUGGGCUGACACUGACGCUGAGGCGCGAAAGCAUGGGGAGCAAACAGG
rnacentral:rRNA from 1 species